UACGUAGGGUGCAAGCGUUGUCCGGAAUUAUUGGGCGUAAAGAGCUCGUAGGCGGUUUGUCGCGUCUGCUGUGAAAACCCGAGGCUCAACCUCGGGCCUGCAGUGGGUACGGGCAGACUAGAGUGGCGGUAGGGGAGAUUGGAAUUCCUGGUGUAGCGGUGGAAUGCGCAGAUAUCAGGAGGAACACCAAUGGCGAAGGCAGAUCU
rnacentral:rRNA from 1 species